AUACGUAGGGGGCGAGCGUUGUCCGGAAUGAUUGGGCGUAAAGGGCGCGUAGGCGGCCCGGUAAGUCUGGAGUGAAAGUCCUGUUUUUAAGAUGGGAAUUGCUUUGGAUACUGUCGGGCUUGAGUGCAGGAGAGGUAAGUGGAAUUCCCAGUGUAGCGGUGAAAUGCGUAGAGAUUGGGAGGAACACCAGUGGCGAAGGCGACUUACUGGACUGUAACUGACGCUGAGGCGCGAAAGUGUGGGGAGCAAAUAGGAUUAGAGACCCUGGUUGUCCACGCUGUAAACGAUGAUGACUAGGUGUGGGGGGACUGAACCCUUCCGUGCCGCAGUUAACACAAUAAGUCAUCCACCUGGGGAGUACGGCCGCAAGGUUGAAACUCAAAGGAAUUGACGGGG
rnacentral:rRNA from 1 species